rnacentral:tRNA from 1 species
GGUGCUGUGGCACAGUGGUAGAACUCUUGCUUUACAUGCAACAAGGCUCUGGGUCCAAUCCCCAGCACCAUCA